GCCCUUAUGGCCAAGCGGUAAGGCGUUUGGCUCGUACUAUCUGACACCAAAAGAUCCUCGGUUCGAAUCCGAGUGAGGGCA